rnacentral:rRNA from 1 species
CUUGAGCAACCUAUAAGAGGUCUAGCCUGCCCAGUGACUCUGUUCAACGGCCGCGGUAUCCUAACCGUGCGAAGGUAGCGUAAUCACUUGUUCUUUAAAUGAGGACUUGUAUGAAUGGCAUCACGAGGGUUAUACUGUCUCCUUUCUCUAAUCAGUGAAACUAAUCUCCCCGUGAAGAAGCGGGGAUAACCAUAUAAGACGAGAAGACCCUAUGGAGCUUUAAACUGAGUGGCAACUGCAUUAAUAACAUUAAAAUUUAAGAAGAUUAACUUUUUACCCAAGCACUGUGAUCAUAAGUUUUAGGUUGGGGCGACCACGGAGUAAAAACUAACCUCCGUAAUGAACAGGGAAUCUUCCCUAAACCAAGGGCCACAACCCGAAGAAUCAUUAUACUGACACCAAUUGACCCAAAAAUUUGACCAAUGGAC